UCCUCCUACAAAGGCAUGUUUUUGGUUCCCUGUCCUUGGACAUGUAAGAAUCAGAGGCAAAGAAAUAUAGUGGAUUUGGAAAGGUCUGGGACCAGCUUGCCAUGUAAGUGUAAUCAUAUGUAAUCAGACAUUU